AUGAGCGCCGCCGCGGCCAACGUCGCCGUCAUCGGAGCCGGAAUGACGGGCGCCGUGUGCGCGUCGCUCCUAGCCGCGCGUGGGGUGGCGGUGACGCUCUUCGACUCCGGCCGCGGCCCCGGCGGCCGCAUGGCGCAGCGGAGGGAGGUGAUGGACGACGGCACGGAGCUGCGGUUCGACCACGGCGCGCCCUACUUCACCGUCAGCAACGACGAGGUCGCCCGGGUCGUGGGCGGGUGGGAGGCGCGGGGGCUCGUCGCCGAGUGGAAGGCCAUGUUCGCCUGCUUCGAUCGGGAGACCGGCAAAUUCAGAGACUUCGAUAAGGUUCUGGAGGGAACCAUGAAGAAGUAUGUUGGAGUUCCAGGCAUGAACUCAAUAUGCAAAUCCCUGUGUCAAGAGGAUGGUUUGGUGACCAAAUUUGGUGUCACUAUUGGAAAGAUGGAUUGGCUUCAAGAUAGGAGCUCAUGGUCUUUGGCUAGCUUGGAUGGCAAAGAUCUUGGCAGUUUUGAUUUUGUUGUGGCAACAGAUAAGAACAUAGCCUCACAAAAAGUUUCUGGGUUGACUGGAAAGCCACCGCCUCUUGAUUUGUCAGUAUUUCCACACUUGUCAGCAAUGAUUCAAGAUAUCCCAGUUCGCCCCUGUUUUGCUCUGAUGUUAGCGUUCUCAGAGCCUCUUGCGAUGGUACCUGUCCAAGGGUUCUCUUUCUACAAUUCUGAUUCUCUAAGCUGGGCCUUUUGUGAUAGUAGUAAGCCAGGACGUCAUGUACCUCCUAAUAGCCAAUCGUGGGUGUUGCGUUCAACCACCGAGUAUGCUUCUAAGGUAAUAGACAGUAUGGGUCCCCGGAAACCUUCAGCAGAUGCCCUUGCUAAGGUUGCAGAGGAACUGUUCAGAGAAUUUCAGGCUACAGGACUGAACAUUCCACAGCCAAUCUUUAUGAAAGCUCAUAGAUGGGGUGGUGCUUUCCCAGCAAUUUCUAUUGGCGGUGAUGAUAAGUGUGUCUGGGAGAAGAACAUGAAAUUGGCUAUCUGUGGAGAUUUCUGCGCUAGUCCAAGUGUCGAAGGGGCUGUCCUUAGUGGCAUGAGAGGAGCUUCCAAAAUCCUUGGAUGUUUAAACUUACCAUCAGGGUUGUGA
rnacentral:rRNA from 1 species